AAAAGGUCAUUGCACGUGUCCACAAGGACGUAAUUAGAAUUUUUGGAAUUUUACACCACCUUGACACUUGUCAAACUCAUGAAAUUUAUUUUAUACUUUGGAUAAUUGAGGGAUUUUAUGUGGUGGAGAAGAAAUGCUUAAUUAUUAAGUUUUAUGUAUGGACCAAUCACAUGGUGACAAGUGUCAAGCUUUAAUAUUAUUAUAUUUUCCUUUAUAAACACAACUAAAA
rnacentral:lncRNA from 1 species